AUUGAACGCUGGCGGCAGGCCUAACACAUGCAAGUCGAGCGAGCGGCGGACGGGUGAGUAAUGUCUGGGAAACUGCCUGAUGGAGGGGGAUAACUACUGGAAACGGUAGCUAAUAACGCAUACCAUCGGAUGUGCCCAGAUGGGAUUAGCUAGUAGGUUGGGUAACGGCGCACCUAGGCGACGAUACCUAGCUGGUCUGAGAGGCUGACCAGCCAAACUGGAACGGAGACACGGUCCAGACUCCUACGGGAGGCAGCAGUGGGGAAUAUGGCACAAUGGGUGCAAGCCUGAUGCAGCCAUGCCGCGUGUGUGAAGAAGGCCUUCGGGUUGUAAAGCACUUUCAGCGGGGAGGCGUUACCCGCAGAAGAAGCAACGGCUAACUCCGUGCCAGCAGCCGCGGUAAUAC
rnacentral:rRNA from 1 species